AUGGCCGACGGCCGCGAGCAGGAGCAGGAGCAGCUUGGGGUCUUCGUGGCGAUGGCGGAGCCCCAGGAGUGUAGCAGGUGGGCGAUCAUCUGCCUAUUGGGAUGCGCGGGCGUCAUGCUCUUCGGCUUAGCCAUCUACAUGCUGGAGGACUUCGAGAGCGGGCCUGCGCCUUUCCUCGUGCUCCUCCUCGCGCUCCUGUUGAUGCCCGCGGGAGGCUUAUGUCUCGCUGAAUUCCUUAUUCUUGUGUGUGAACAGUUCAGCGGCGGCAAUCCAGCUGGAAUAAUGAACGUAGAUAGAUUGUUGUCGUGGUAG
rnacentral:rRNA from 1 species